rnacentral:rRNA from 1 species
AUGGCUUCCAACGGGAGCAUGUUGGCCAUCAUCAUGGCAUGCGCGCUCCUCCUCGCCGGCAGCACGUGCCACGCCGCCCGCAACCUGGCCGACACGACGCCGGUUGCUAGUGCCGUCCCUGGACUGCCGGCCGUGCCGACCUUACCCGCCGUGCCCACGGACACGGUCACCCUGAUGCCACCUAUGCCGUCGGUCACCCUCCCCACCGUGCCGCAGGUGACCCUGCCGCCCAUGCCGGCCAUCAUCGUGCCCAAGGCGGUGCUGCCGCCGAUGCCCAAGGUCACCCUCCCCACAGUGACGAUGGCGCCGAUGCCCGCGAUUGUCGUGCCCAAGGUGACGCUGCCGCCGUUGCCCUUCGUCCCGAAUGUGAACGUGCCUAUGCCGUUUGCGGCGCCACCCCCGUCGGCCACGACGUGCCAUGCCGCUCGCCACUUGGCCGACACCACCCCGGCGGCUGCCCCACCCGCUGCGGCUGCUGUCCCUGGCUUCCCGGCCGUGCCAACCAUGCCGACUGUGCCCACCGUACCGCAGGUGACGCUGCCGCCCAUGCCCGCUGUUCCGGCGGUGCCGAAGGUGACGAUGCCCCCAAUGCCCGCCAUCGACGUGCCUAAGGUGACCAUGGCACCGAUGCCCGCUGUCGUUGUGCCUAAGGUGACGAUGCCACCGAUGCCCGCCAUUCCUUCCAUGCCGAAGAUGACGCUGCCGCCGAUGCCUUCUAUCCCGACCGUCAACGUCCCUAUACCGUUCCUGGCGCCGCCUCCAUCAACUUAG